GCGUCCCAGAAGGCACGGCGGCGAGGCGGGCGGAGCGCAGAACCGCUGGCCCCCGUCGGAGAAGAGUUGGGAACGAGGAAAGAAGCUUCGAGAAGAUGAGGGGGAAAGGGACUACCCCGGGAGUUGGUCUUUUAUGGAUGACCUAGUCCGGUUUACCUCAGAGCGUUCGAAGAAUGGGUGAAUAUAACAAUUUAUUGUAAAUGCAACAAAAAACAACAAAGACAUGGACCCAAGAAACUCAGAUCUACAAGACCCUGUUGAAAAGUGAAGCGUGAGAGAUUUGAAACAGUACUGAAAUACUGAUCCAGUUUUCUUUUUGUUGUGUUUGAGACCGGGUCCCUCAAUGUAGUUCUGGUUGUUCAGGAACUCGCCUUGUAGACCAGGCUUGCUUCAAACACACGUUAAGUCUUUCUGCCUCUGUCUCUUUAAAAAAAUGCUGAUGAUGAAAGGCUUGAGCCAUCACGCCCAGCUGCGUUCUUUUAACCCAUUACUAGUUGAAUUACGUUUUCCAAAACAUUGGGAACUUGAACCAAAUUUGUAUUUAUUUCCUGGCAAAGUUGUAUUUG
rnacentral:lncRNA from 1 species